UACCGCGGUUAUACGAGAAGCCCAAGUUGACAAGCUCCGGCGUAAAGCGUGGUUAAGGAGCAAUAAACACUAAAGCCGAACGCUUACUAGGCUGUUAUACGCUUCCGAAAGUAAGAAGCACAUCCACGAAGGUGGCUUUACCUUGCCUGAACCCACGAAAGCCAAGGCA
rnacentral:rRNA from 1 species